GCCGGGCGUGGUGGUGCGCGCCUGUAAUCCCAGCUACUCGGGAGGCUGAGGCAGGAGAAUUGCUUGAACCUGGGAGGCAGAGGUUGCAGUGAGCCAAGAUGGCACCACUGCACUCCAGCCUGGGUGACAGAGCAAGACCUCAUCUCAA
rnacentral:SRP_RNA from 1 species